AGCGAACGCUGGCGGCAGGCUUAACACAUGCAAGUCGAGCGGGCACUUUCGGGUGUCAGCGGCGGACGGGUGAGUAACGCGUGGGAACGUGCCCUCUGGUUCGGAAUAACUCAGGGAAACUUGAGCUAAUACCGGAUACGCCCUUUUGGGGAAAGGCUUGCUGCCGGAGGAUCGGCCCGCGUCUGAUUAGCUAGUUGGUGAGGUAACGGCUCACCAAGGCGACGAUCAGUAGCUGGUCUGUGAGGAUGAUCAGCCACACUGGGACUGAGACACGGCCCAGACUCCUACGGGAGGCAGCAGUGGGGAAUAUUGGACAAUGGGCGCAAGCCUGAUCCAGCCAUGCCGCGUGAGUGAUGAAGGCCUUAGGGUUGUAAAGCUCUUUUAUCCGGGACGAUAAUGACGGUACCGGAGGAAUAAGCCCCGGCUAACUUCGUG
rnacentral:rRNA from 1 species